UUUUAGCCGGGGGUGGGAUGAGGAGGUGUGGAGGAAGAAGUCCUCCUUGUCUUGUUUGUGACUUUCCCAAUGUGGAGAAUAUUAAGCUAAAAGCAUUGCCUAGAAAAAACUGGUUUGGGCUUCAAUGACCUUGACCCUUUUCUCUGCUCAGUCCUUUGGGAUCCUAUUUCUUGGUGCUAAGAAGGGGUUCAUUCUCAAGUUAACCUAUUUCCUAUAAAAGGAAACCAGACUCAUGUCCCAGCCUCCCAUGGGACUGACUCAGCUUUGCCUCCCACAUUGCAGAUGGAUUACCGGGCCUUGGUGCAUGAGCGAGAUGAGGCAGCCUAUGGGGAGCUCAGGGCCAUGGUGCUGGACCUGAGGGCCUUCUAUGCUGAGCUUUAUCAUAUCAUCAGCAGCAACCUGGAGAAAAUUGUCAACCCAAAGGGUGAAGAGAAGCCAUCUAUGUACUGAACCCAGGACUAGAAGGAAAAUAAAUGAUCUAUAUGUUGUGUGGAUUC
rnacentral:sRNA from 1 species